CAGCAGGGAGCCGCCUGAUGAGGACCGAAGGGGAGGUCCAUUUGCCGAGGCCCUGGCGUCCAGCUUCCUCUUUGAGCCUCAUCUCCUCAUAAAACAUGAACUGAUUUGGUUGGAUUGGUGAAGUCUGGUAGCAUGAAAUGUAUCUUAUGACACUAUCACAUUAAUGGAAGGACAGCAAGCACUCCAGUUGCAGGUAUGGUAUAAGCAAAAGGCCACAGGGAGAACAUACAGGUAGGGACAUGUUGGGGAAACAUGGUGUAGAGCAACUGUAUUAUAUGCUUUAUACCAAGGAGAGUAGUGGGAAGCUGAGUUGGAUUCUUGGCUGGGUUAACGCAGAGUAACAGGGGCUUGGAUGAAUUCGACAUCCUUUUCCAUGUCCCAGCCCCCUGCCCAACACAUAGUAACAGAACCAAAACACAAAUUUGCAUCAUAAAUUUUAUUCCCGAUGCGGGACAGAUUCCU
rnacentral:lncRNA from 10 species